rnacentral:rRNA from 1 species
AUGAACCAGAUUAUCUCACUGGUGCAGAGUGCUUUUCAAAAGACGAAAGGAAUCCAUGAUAGCUUCUUAUAUGUCUGCAACACAGUGAAGCACUUGCACCGCAAGAACAAGCCAGCUCUGCUCCUCAAACUAGACAUUGCUAGGGCUUUCGAUAGUGUUUCAUGGGAGUACCUGCUCGAGCUGAUGCAUCAGCUUGGAUUCCCGGCGAGGUGGCUAGACUGGAUUGCCAUGCUCCUAUCAACAUCCUCCUCUUCCUGUCUGCUGAAUGGCAUUGAAGGUGACAACAUUCGUCACAUGAAGGGCCUACGCCAGGGUGAUCCGCUAUCCCCCCUCCUUUUCAUCCUCUCAAUCGACCCGCUUUAGAGAUUGUUUGAGGCUGCGGCGGUGGCUGGCGAGCUGCAGCUGCUCCCUGCCCGGGCUGCUCGACUGCGUGCCUGUCUGUAUGCCGAUGAUGCGGUAGUCUUCGCCAAUCCGCAGCACGAGGAGGUUGACAAGGUCCUAGGGCUGCUGCAGGGUUUUGGACACGCCACCGGCCUGCACCUCAACCCAGCAAAAUCCUCAGUGGCUCCAAUAUGA